AUCAAAAGGUACAGGGAGAAUGUAUACAAUUCCUUUUAAUGUGAAUAGUAAUUAUAUAUACACAGUGAAUAUAAUUUGAAUAUUAUAGUUAUGCUUGAUAUUUAAACGACACAGAGCUAUACAUGCAAGAUAAGGUUGACAUAUUUUUUGCCGAUAGGCCUCAUGCAUCAUCGGAGUUACCUGCUACAAGGGAUAUUGGCUGCAAUACUGAGCCACCUCAGAGACACCAUGUUGGCACAAAACUCUCUUUGAAGACUCUUCAUUCACAUUACAGAAGUGAAGCUGUCCAGGCUACUGUGUCCUUCAAGGACUUUGGCACAACCGAUAACAACUCCUGUAUUCUACAAGCUGGAGAAAGCGCUGACCAAGAAGACAGUCCUGAGGGAUAUAGCAAAGCUCAGUCCCCAGCACCUGACGUUCAAUAAAUAAAUAAACAAAUAAAUGCACAUAAAUACCAGAAAAUAUACCAAAUAUUCAAAGUGCAAGUGUUGUUGAAUAGUCUAGUAACUAGUGAUUCCCUUUUGUGUGUAUUGCACAGAGUAUGUGAAUGAUGCAAAUGAUUGGAUGGACAUGAUCAUGGAGAAGGUCUUUGUCGACCCAGCAUCGUACAGAGCAGAGAUUCUGAAGAUAAACAUCCCGCCGG
ensembl:lncRNA